CACUUGUCACCUGCUCGAGAAGCCAGCACUGAUCUGACCCUCACUGCCUGUCCCUGCAUGUCCCUGGGUGUAUCUCUGUUCCCGGUUAAUCUUGUUCCCUGUGAUCUGCCACAGAGCCUGGUUCGCUCAUCCAGCUACUGUCGCAAACUAAUCCCCCUCCACUUCCCUACUCAGUUUCUCUUCCUGAUAUCACAAAUACUCAGUAACAUAAUUCCCUGACCCUUGUCCUAAUGGCCAGUGCACAUUCUUCCUGACUUAGGGAACCUGUGAGAUACUGAAGUGCUGGCUUUCUUGACUAUAGCAUUCUCUUUGCCUAUAUUAUAUGUGCACCUCACAGAGAAUCUUAGUAUGGAGUGUUUGUUGUCUAUUAAUGGUUUAAUGUUUGUCUGGGGCUAGCUUUUGAAGUAGGGUCUAUUCUGGUGCACACACAUUUACCCAUGAACUCUGAAACUUUUUAACAUUAUCUUUUUGAAAAAUCUAGUGAAAGAUCAAGACUUCAUUUGAAGAAUUUUUUCCAAGUGUAGUGUCCAAAGUCAAAGACUUCAAACAGCAAACCUCUCUUUUUAAAUAUUCUAGUGGGCAUUAUCAGGUAGAGAUACAGGUCCAAUAAUAGUUCCCUAAGAGGAAUUUUUCCAUAGAGCUAAAAGGAAUCAGAAAUGCAUAUCCCACUGGACUGAAAAGCAUGGUGCUGUGGUGGCUAAGACCAAGUCAGACCUGGGGUCGGCCUGCUGCUAGUAUAUUCCCAAACCUCCAGGGAUCCACUGGCUUCCUUGUAACAAAGAGGAUGCUGUUAACAGCGCCUGUUCUACAGGGCGACUCUGAGAUUCAACAGACCAAUUCCUCGGCCUAGGACUUUGAGGGAACUAAAAAAUCAUUGGCUGAUGAAAACUCCCAUCCCAGCAUAGGCUGAUUAGCUACUGUGCACUCUUUUUGGUGAGUGGACACUGUUGGUAGUCUGUCUAAGCUCCACCCCCACAGCUUCCUGGCAAGAGUAUGCUCCGCCCCACAGUUACCUAGCAACAGCCAGCCGUGCCUGACACUACAUAAGGGGCUGCUUGGCCCCUCCUCCCUCUCUUGCUCUUUGCUCUCUUCCCUGCUCUUCUUCUUUGUCCCUUCUCUCCCCAUACCCCCUUCCCUCCAUGUGCUCAUGGCCGGCCUUUACUUCUCCCCUUUUCUACUCUUCUUCUCUUUCUCUCAUUAAACCUCUCCACAUGGAACCAUGUUCGUUUGGUGUGUUCCGUCUGGAAGCAAGCCGAGAUUUAAACCCCAACAGGUAGAGAACUCAGAGUCAACGUCCUCAACUUGAUUUCCCUUCUCACAGAGCACCAUCAGUAGCAGACUGAAGUUUUGACUGUCACCUACUGAUCAGACGGUAAAAGAUCCGAGGAUCAUGCUAAGAACACUAGGUUUCCCUUCCAAAUAUAAGUAGGCAUUCCGACUGAAGUGGGAGAUCCUAAGAAAAUGAGACACGUCUAAUAAUCACACCAGACAAUAGGUGUGAAUCUCAAUAUGCCAGGCAAAUCGGGCAUUUGCCAAGGGUAGAGUCAACCCCUAAGCUCAAACAACUGUUUCUCCAGAGACUGCUGCUACAUGCCAGGAGGGAUGCUUUGUUUUGUUGACAACGAGCCUUGUUUGGAGAGCUGAGGAGAGCUCAAAUUCAUCGAAUCUAGUUAUCAAGCAAUGGGGAUGAGGAGGUCCAGCUCUGCCUCUGGGAGGCCUCAUUAGGCUGGCAAAAUAAGACACGAAUGAAUACACGCACAAAAACCCCGAUUAUCACCAAAACGAAACGAUGAAGCCAAAUUUAGGUUUUCACAGCACAGCACAUGGUCUGACUCACAUGAACCAAAGAACACUGAGUUCGCUGGGGAUACUGGAAGACAUGAAAUCUAAAAAGUGAAGAAUCACCGAUCUUUUCCUUUGGAACCACAGCUAUGGCUUCUAAGCAGCACCAGGGCUCCAGUCACCAAGGGUAAAGAGAGAGCAUCAAUAUAUGUCUCCACUUGGUUAGACCCUGACCAUAGGAGCACCAUGUGUGACCAUAAGGUGGCGGCCAUCACAGCCUUCGAUUUUGCUUUGACUUUUGUUUUCUAAUCUUGUUUUGAGAGUUGUCACUGUCACGAAAACAUGCUUGGGACAAAAGGG